UCCGUAGGUGAACCUGCGGAAGGAUCAUUAAAGAGUAAGGGUCUCCGGCCCGAACCUCCAACCCUUUGUUGUUAAAACUACCUUGUUGCUUUGGCGGGACCGUUCGGUCUCGAGCGCACCGGUCUUCGGAUUGGUGAGCGCCCGCCAGAGUCCAACCAAACUCUUGUAUUAAACCAGUCGUCUGAGUAUAAAAUUUUAAUUUAAUUAAAACUUUCAACAACGGAUCUCUUGGUUCUCGCAUCGAUGAAGAACGCAGCGAAAUGCGAUAAGUAAUGUGAAUUGCAGAAUUCAGUGAAUCAUCGAAUCUUUGAACGCACAUUGCGCCCCUUGGUAUUCCGAGGGGCAUGCCUGUUCGAGCGUCAUUACACCACUCAAGCACUGCUUGGUAUUGGGCACCCGUCCGCCGAAAGGCGGGCGUGCCUCGAAGACCUCGGCGGGGCCUAACCGGCUUCGGGCGUAGUAGAGUUAAAUCAAAACGUCUUAUAAGUCUGGUUAGAACCCAUUGCCGUAAAACCUUUUAUUUUCUAGGUUGACCUCGGAUCAGGUAGGGAUACCCGCUGAACUUAAGCAUAUCAAUAAGCGGAGGAA
rnacentral:rRNA from 1 species